rnacentral:rRNA from 1 species
UGCAAGUCGAACGAGCGAGAGAGAGCUUGCUUUCUCGAGCGAGUGGCGAACGGGUGAGUAACGCGUGAGGAACCUGCCUCAAAGAGGGGGACAACAGUUGGAAACGACUGCUAAUACCGCAUAAGCCCACGACCCGGCAUCGGGUAGAGGGAAAAGGAGCAAUCCGCUUUGAGAUGGCCUCGCGUCCGAUUAGCUAGUUGGUGAGGUAACGGCCCACCAAGGCGACGAUCGGUAGCCGGACUGAGAGGUUGAACGGCCACAUUGGGACUGAGACACGGCCCAGACUCCUACGGGAGGCAGCAGUGGGGAAUAUUGCACAAUGGGGGAAACCCUGAUGCGGCGACGCCGCGUGGAGGAAGAAGGUCUUCGGAUUGUAAACUCCUGUUGUUGAGGAAGAUAAUGACGGUACUCAACAAGGAAGUGACGGCUAACUACGUGCCAGCAGCCGCGGUAAAACGUAGGUCACAAGCGUUGUCCGGAAUUACUGGGUGUAAAGGGAGCGCAGGCGGGAAGACAAGUUGGAAGUGAAAUCCAUGGGCUCAACCCAUGAACUGCUUUCAAAACUGUUUUUCUUGAGUAGUGCAGAGGUAGGCGGAAUUCCCGGUGUAGCGGUGGAAUGCGUAGAUAUCGGGAGGAACACCAGUGGCGAAGGCGGCCUACUGGGCACCAACUGACGCUGA